rnacentral:rRNA from 1 species
UACGUAGGGUGCGAGCGUUGUUCGGAAUUACUGGGCGGAAAGGGCUCGUAGGUGGCCAACUAAGUCAGACGUGAAAUCCCUCGGCUCAACCGGGGAACUGCGUCCGAUACUGGUGGGCUCGAAUCCGGGAGAGGGAUGUGGAAUUCCAGGUGUAGCGGUGAAAUGCGUAGAUAUCUGGAGGAACACCGGUGGCGAAGGCGGCAUCCUGGACCGGCAUUGACGCUGAGGCGCGAAAGCCAGGGGAGCAAACGGG